UACGGGGGGGGCAAGCGUUGUUCGGAAUUACUGGGCGUAAAGGGCUCGUAGGCGGCCAACUAAGUCGGAUGUGAAAUCCCCAGGCUUAACCUGGGAACUGCAUCCGAUACUGGAUGGCUUGAAUCCGGGAGAGGGAUGCAGAAUUCCAGGUGUAGCGGUGAAAUGCGUAGAUAUCGGGAGGAACAUCAGUGGCGAAGGCGGCUGCCUGGCCCCAAUACUGACACUCAGGUGCGACAGCGUGGGGAGCAAACAGG
rnacentral:rRNA from 1 species